UACAGAGGUCUCAAGCGUUGUUCGGAUUCAUUGGGCGUAAAGGGUGCGUAGGCGGCGCGGUAAGUCGGGUGUGAAAUCUUGGAGCUUAACUCCGAAACUGCAUUCGAUACUGCCGUGCUUGAGGACUGGAGAGGAGACUGGAAUUUACGGUGUAGCGGUGAAAUGCGUAGAUAUCAGGAGGAACACCAAUAGCGAAGGCAGCUCGCUGGGACGUUACUGACACUAAGGCGCGAAAGCGUGGGGAGCGAACAGG
rnacentral:rRNA from 1 species